CAUGAUUUUGAAGCCCAUAAUGAUUGUUUUAGUCUUAGCUGAACCUCAACAUACAUGGCCAGAACAUCAGGGGGAAUUUGGAUUAUAAACAAAGAAACAUCUCAGAAACUCUGGAAAGAGAGCUGGUUUCAGUACCUCCGACGAUCCCGACACAUAUGUACAAAUGCGUGAUGGUGCUGCUGAAGGAAGCCGCCACCAUGGAAACGCUGCACAUGAGGCCUCCUGUGAUCACAACGGGCCUGCUACCGUAACGGUUCACCAACACACUGCUCACCGGACCUGGAUAUACACACACACAAAUGGGGUAAAUAAAUACAGUGGACUCACACUCUAGUUGGUGUUUACACAAACCUGCUGAACAUGAGCAGCAGAAGAGCAGAGAGGAUUAGCGUAACUCGUGGAUUGGCUGCUCGUUCGAGAGGUGACAUUUCCUCAGGAGGGGUUUCAAUAUCUUCUAAAAUCCCAGUCACCUGAGGAAGAUGGGGGUCAUCACACAUCGCGCGUUAUGUUCCCACAGGGAGCGACGCUGAAGGGGAAAAAUGCAGUGGUGUCCGUGUGUGAUGAAUUUCUGCUGUCGUUCUUCCGCCAUGUGCGGGGUGACAUUGGGAAAGAAGCCAAGGGCGUUAUGAUGAAGGCCAAUGCCGCCAUCAGUACACAGGGGAACUCUGUAUCUCUCUCUCUCGCUCUGUUAAUGAUGAUGCUUCUCUAAAACCUUAUAGCGCUUUGCUGCCUUUAUCUUGCUUUCUUGGGACGAUUUUUAUAUUGUGCCGAUAUAAAAAAAGAAUGGACCAGGGCCCCCUUUAGCCAAUAAAUAAACAGUCUGUCUGUC